CGUAGGGCGCAAGCGUUGUCCGGAUUCACUGGGUGUAAAGGGUGCGCAGGCGGGAAGGUAAGUUAGAGGUGAAAUCUCACGGCUCAACCGUGAAACUGCCUUUGAUACUGCUUUUCUUGAGUUAGGGAGAGGUUGAUGGAAUUCCAGGUGUAGCGGUGAAAUGCGUAGAUAUCUGGAAGAACACCGGUGGCGAAGGCGGUCAACUGGCCCUAAACUGACGCUCAGGCACGAAAGCGUGGGGAUCAAACAGGAUUAGAUACCCUGGUAGUCCACGCCCUAAACGAUGAAUACUUGGUGUUGGCCUUUUUUGGUCAGUGCCGAAGGUAACCUGAUAAGUAUUCCACCUGGGGAGUACGCUCGCAAGGGUG
rnacentral:rRNA from 1 species